GUUUCAUAUCGUUACAGUAGGAUAUUAGUUUUAGCGUUUUCAUUCCACACUAGCGGCGUAGCCUCGAGCGCGCGACCCGUCGCGCUCGUCGCGCUCGCCUCGCGACGUCUGUCUGUUUCAACUGUCCGUUCGGGUCACCGUCAGUCCGCCGCGCUCGCUCCAUCGCGUCCGGCCGCGCUCGCGCCAUGUCGCCGUCCGGGUCGCUCGCGCGCGCCGACUCGGCGUCCUCGAGCCCCCUCGCGAGCGAACGCGCGGAUUCCGUGGGCGAUUUACCGCGAAUUCCCCUCGGAUUCGGCGCCCCGACGCGAAAUCACGCGCGCACCGACAGCUCGUGCAGCACCGACGGCUUGAUCUCGCGCGACGUCGACGUCGAGCGCGCGCUGGGUGAUUUCGCCGAGACGUCGGACGGCGGCGUCGCGCGCGCGUCGACGUCGCCGCUCGCGCCGCGCGUCUCGCGGGGGAAAGUAUCGCGAGCGCUCGCGAGCGUCGGCGACUACUUCACCGAACGCGCGAACCGACGGUUGAAGUUCGCGGUCGCGAUCGCGCUGGUGCUGGCGCUCGUAGUGUUGAUCGGGAUGCCGCUCCGAGCGUGGACCAAGGGCUGAGCCGACGACGCGAAUCGACGCGCGUCGCCGCGGCUAAUAAUACCGCGCGCUCGCCGAGUCGCUCGCGACUUUUAACGCGCGUCUCGCGUCUCGGCGCGCGACGUCGCACCGCUGUAACACCACGCGUUGGAUUAGUUUCGAGUUCGACGACGUCCGCGUUCGACGCGUCGCUCGUUCGUAUGCUACAAAUCGCGUCGCUCCGCGCGUCUACGCGUUCGGCCGAAACCCCAUCAAUCGCGCCGCGCUGCUCUGCGUCGCGUACAUCACCCCGAACGCCAGCCCGAGUCCCCCCAUCGUGACCGCCGUCGGCGUUCGCAUGCACACCUUCGCCCGCGCGCCGCCGCCGACGAUCCAUCCCAAUCCACCGCCCGCGCUCGCGCCCAGGAGUACGUCCCGGUAGUCCGUCGCGUUAAAGUUGCUCGCUGCGCGCGCGCGUCGUCCCGACGGCUUCCGUCAGUCUCCCGUCGCGCGUCGCGCGUCGGUCGUCGACGCGCGAGAACGCAUCGACGGUUCGCGCGUCGUCCGUUCGCGUCGUCCGUUCGCGUCGUCGCCGCGCGGCGUCGCCGUCGGUGUCACCGAUCGACGGUCGCGCGGCGUCGCGCGGCGUCGUCGCGUCGCGCUUUGUCGCGUCGCGCGCACCGACGGCGCCGAAACUCGGCGCGCGAUCGACGACGUCGUGCGUCGGGCGAUCGGCGAUGACGCCCAUGGAUUCGCGCGCGUCGACCACUGCGGGCGAAGGUCCGCGCGAAGGAUCGAUUCGAUCGCGCCGCACACGACGUCGCG
rnacentral:lncRNA from 1 species